rnacentral:rRNA from 1 species
GAUGAACGCUGGCGGUGUGCCUAAUACAUGCAAGUCGAGCGAACGGACGAGAAGCUUGCUUCUUUGAUGUUAGCUGCGGACGGGUGAGUAACACGUGGAUAACCUAUCUAUAAGACUGGGAUAACUUCGGUAAACCGGAUCUAAUACCGGAUAAUAGUUUGAACCGCAUGUUUCACAAGUGAAAGACGGUCUUUCUGUCCCUUAUAGACGGAUCCGCGCUGCAUUAGCUAGUUGGUAAGGUAACGGCUUACCAAUGCAUCGAUGCAUAGCUGACCUGGGAGGGUGAUCGGCCACACUGGAACUGAGACACGGUCCAGACUCCUACGGGAGGCAGCAGUAGGGAAUCUUCCGCAAUGGGCGAAAGCCUGACGGAGCAACGCCGCGUGAGUGAUGAAGGUCUUCGGAUCGUAAAACUCUGUUAUUAGGGACGAACAUAUGUGUAAGUAACUGUGCACAACUUGACGGUACCUAAUCAGAACGCGACGGCUAACUACGUG